ACGAACGAACGUAUCAAAUCACAGAUAAAUUCUUAAAGCUCAAUUGUCAUUCGGGUAAUGAAUAUUGUACUAAUUCCAUAAUAUUCCUUGUUCAGAUGACGGUUUUUUGUAGCCUUUUUUUGCAAAGUCUUUCUAAAGUUUACUUUCGCAACAGGUUUCCAGGUGGUGGUGGAACUUGGGCCGGUGUACGUGAGGGAUGGGUGGGAGGGUGUGGGUGCGACUAGGCAAACGCAAACCACCUACGGAGGAGCUCUGCUGCAUUUGAUACCUGCCUUGCUGCUUAUCUUGGCUUGGUUUGAUGUACAAAACCAAGUAAACUGUGAGGAGAUGUCCCGUUGAAAUGUCUUGCUUGAUCGAGUAGGAGAAGAAGAUGAAGAGAAAAUGCUUCUCUUAUAAUUCUGCAUGUCUUGUCUCUCUCUUAUUUUCUCGGAUUGGUGAUAUGCCUCCUUACUUAUGAUAUCCCCCACGGUAGCGAGCACCUCGAGCGUCACACCAUCCACCCUGGUCGCCUUGCCUCCCAUCUCGCUCCCUCCACCCGGAUAACGACGAGGUUUAUGGAUAUCGAGAAAAAGUGAGGACGACGAUUGUACAAAUGUGGAAACUCCCAUGUGCCAAAACGCCCAAAAAUCGCUCGACCUCGACCGACGAGAGGAUAUAUGAGAACCACGACGUCGUCGUACAUGUAU